UGCUUUGCUCAGUGGCAGUUAUCUUAGCUAAUGAGGUUUACCUGAGGCGUGAUUAUUGCUAAUUGGAAAUGCUGUACCCAAUUAAUAGUACUGUUUCUUAGAAAAUGGAGUCAUUGGAACUUACAGAUGUAU
ensembl:snRNA U4 U4 spliceosomal RNA